ACGCAACGGUGAGGGAGGUUUGAUUUUUUGCUCUCAGGCAGUUAAGUCUCAUUCAUUGUUGCGAUGUUGUGUUUGCAUAUUGUCCGGGUUGUGCCGGACAGGUAGUCAAUCUACCAAUUUUACUUCCUGUAUUUUUGACCUGUCUGUCAAAGUUUAUUGUUAGCACUGCGCCCCAACGCAGUGCUUUUUUUU
rnacentral:other from 1 species